GGAGAGAGCCAGAACAGGUGGGAGCCACACAACUUUUCUCCCAGCAGAGAAGCAACUGUGACAACAGAGAUUCUUUCUGAACCAAAGUCCUCGUAGGAAGGGGGAGAUCUUUCACUAGCAAUGCCAACGAAGAUCCUCACAAAGGGCCUUCUAGAACUAUAUACUUCCUGGUAGGCAAAGGAUACGGAGUGAUGGUGUAAUGAUACCACACAGUUGUCUGCUGGUGGUGCCCCCUACCGACUACUUCUUCAAGGAUGGCAUCAGGGGGGCUUUCGGACUGGGAACUCGGUUGCGCCCACUGCUGCGAGCGGAACAUUACCAUCUCCUCCAAGUUGCGCAGCACGGUCACGGCGCCUUUGGGAGAUGCUGCUGAU